GAUGAAGAACGUAGCGAAAUGCGAUACGUAAUGUGAAUUGCAGAAUUCAGUGAAUCAUCGAGUCUUUGAACGCACAUUGCGCCCCCUGGUAUUCUGGGGGGCAUGCCUGUCCGAGCGUCAUUGCUGCCCUCAAGCACGGCUUGUGUGUUGGGCCUCCGUCCUCCUCCCGGGGGACGGGCCCGAAAGGCAGCGGCGGCACCGCGUCCGGUCCUCGAGCGUAUGGGGCUUCGUCACCCGCUCUUGUAGGCCCGGCCGGCGCUUGCCGACACAUCAAUCUUUUUUCCAGGUUGACCUCGGAUCAGGUAGGGAUACCCGCUGAACUUAAGCAUAUCAAUAAGCGGAGGA
rnacentral:misc_RNA from 1 species